rnacentral:rRNA from 1 species
UGGGCGAUAAUUUGUACAACUUUCAACAACGGAUCUCUAGGCUCUCGCAUCGAUGAAGAACGCAGCGAAAUGCGAUAAGUAAUGUGAAUUGCAGAAUUCAGUGAAUCAUCGAAUCUUUGAACGCACCUUGCGCCCCUUGGUAUUCCGAGGGGCA